rnacentral:lncRNA from 1 species
CAGCUGUGGAGGUCUUAAAGGAUGCCCAUAAGUACAUUUAUGCUCUUUUAUUGAAAAGGGGAAUCCAUUUUCUCCCAGCAGUAAAUAAUAUAACCAGCUUUUUAAGAGAUGAGUUCAUGGGAUGGGUUCAUGGGCAUGCUUCCUGAGAAUUGCUGGGCCACAUACUCUUAAGGACCCUACAUUUUGUUUAGCAUUUUUUAU